rnacentral:rRNA from 1 species
GGUUAAGCGACUAAGCGUACACGGUGGAUGCCCUGGCAGUCAGAGGCGAUGAAGGACGUGCUAAUCUGCGAUAAGCGUCGGUAAGGUGAUAUGAACCGUUAUAACCGGCGAUUUCCGAAUGGGGAAACCCAGUGUGAUUCGUCACACUAUCAUUACGUGAAUACAUAGCGUAAUGAAGCGAACCGGGGGAACUGAAACAUCUAAGUACCCCGAGGAAAAGAAAUCAACCGAGAUUCCCCCAGUAGCGGCGAGCGAACGGGGAGCAGCCCAGAGUCUGAAUCAGCUUGUGUGUUAGUGGAACGGUCUGGAAAGUCCGACGGUACAGGGUGAUAGUCCCGUACACCAAAAUGCACAGGUUGUGAACUCGAAGAGUAGGGCGGGACACGUGGUAUCCUGUCUGAAUAUGGGGGGACCAUCCUCCAAGGCUAAAUACUCCUGACUGACCGAUAGUGAACCAGUACCGUGAGGGAAAGGCGAAAAGAACCCCGGCGAGGGGAGUGAAAAAGAACCUGAAACCGUGUACGUACAAGCAGUGGGAGCCUCUUUAUGGGGUGACUGCGUACCUUUUGUAUAAUGGGUCAGCGACUUAUAUUCUGUAGCAAGGUUAACCGUAUAGGGGAGCCGAAGGGAAACCGAGUCUUAACUGGGCGUUAAGUUGCAGGGUAUAGACCCGAAACCCGGUGAUCUAGCCAUGGGCAGGUUGAAGGUUGGGUAACACUAACUGGAGGACCGAACCGACUAAUGUUGAAAAAUUAGCGGAUGACUUGUGGCUGGGGGUGAAAGGCCAAUCAAACCGGGAGAUAGCUGGUUCUCCCCGAAAGCUAUUUAGGUAGCGCCUCGUGAACUCAUCUUCGGGGGUAGAGCACUGUUUCGGCUAGGGGGUCAUCCCGACUUACCAACCCGAUGCAAACUGCGAAUACCGAAGAAUGUUAUCACGGGAGACACACGGCGGGUGCUAACGUCCGUCGUGAAGAGGGAAACAACCCAGACCGCCAGCUAAGGUCCCAAAGUCAUGGUUAAGUGGGAAACGAUGUGGGAAGGCACAGACAGCCAGGAUGUUGGCUUAGAAGCAGCCAUCAUUUAAAGAAAGCGUAAUAGCUCACUGGUCGAGUCGGCCUGCGCGGAAGAUGUAACGGGGCUAAACNNNNNNNNNNNNNNNNNNNNNNNNNNNNNNNNNNNNNNNNNNNNNNNNNNUGCUGGAGGUAUCAGAAGUGCGAAUGCUGACAUAAGUAACGAUAAUGCGGGUGAAAAACCCGCACGCCGGAAGACCAAGGGUUCCUGUCCAACGUUAAUCGGGGCAGGGUGAGUCGACCCCUAAGGCGAGGCCGAAAGGCGUAGUCGAUGGGAAACAGGUUAAUAUUCCUGUACUUGGUGUUACUGCGAAGGGGGGACGGAGAAGGCUAUGUUAGCCGGGCGACGGUUGUCCCGGUUUAAGCAUGUAGGCGGAGGUUCCAGGUAAAUCCGGUACCUUUUUAACGCUGAGGUGUGAUGACGAGGCACUACGGUGCUGAAGUAACAAAUGCCCUGCUUCCAGGAAAAGCCUCUAAGCAUCAGGUAACACGAAAUCGUACCCCAAACCGACACAGGUGGUCAGGUAGAGAAUACCAAGGCGCUUGAGAGAACUCGGGUGAAGGAACUAGGCAAAAUGGUGCCGUAACUUCGGGAGAAGGCACGCUGAUAUGUAGGUGAAGUGAUUUACUCAUGGAGCUGAAAUCAGUCGAAGAUACCAGCUGGCUGCAACUGUUUAUUAAAAACACAGCACUGUGCAAACACGAAAGUGGACGUAUACGGUGUGACGCCUGCCCGGUGCCGGAAGGUUAAUUGAUGGGGUUAUCCGUAAGGAGAAGCUCUUGAUCGAAGCCCCGGUAAACGGCGGCCGUAACUAUAACGGUCCUAAGGUAGCGAAAUUCCUUGUCGGGUAAGUUCCGACCUGCACGAAUGGCGUAAUGAUGGCCAGGCUGUCUCCACCCGAGACUCAGUGAAAUUGAACUCGCUGUGAAGAUGCAGUGUACCCGCGGCAAGACGGAAAGACCCCGUGAACCUUUACUAUAGCUUGACACUGAACACUGGUCCUUGAUGUGUAGGAUAGGUGGGAGGCUUUGAAGUGUGGACGCCAGUCUGCAUGGAGCCAUCCUUGAAAUACCACCCUUUAAUGGCUGGUGUUCUAACGUGGACCCGUUACCCGGGUUGCGGACAGUGUCUGGUGGGUAGUUUGACUGGGGCGGUCUCCUCCUAAAGAGUAACGGAGGAGCACGAAGGUUAGCUAAUCCUGGUCGGACAUCAGGAGGUUAGUGCAAAGGCAUAAGCUAGCUUGACUGCGAGAGUGACGGCUCGAGCAGGUGCGAAAGCAGGUCUUAGUGAUCCGGUGGUUCUGAAUGGAAGGGCCAUCGCUCAACGGAUAAAAGGUACUCCGGGGAUAACAGGCUGAUACCGCCCAAGAGUUCAUAUCGACGGCGGUGUUUGGCACCUCGAUGUCGGCUCAUCACAUCCUGGGGCUGAAGUAGGUCCCAAGGGUAUGGCUGUUCGCCAUUUAAAGUGGUACGCGAGCUGGGUUUAGAACGUCGUGAGACAGUUCGGUCCCUAUCUGCCGUGGGCGCUGGAGAAUUGAGGGGGGCUGCUCCUAGUACGAGAGGACCGGAGUGGACGCAUCACUGGUGUUCGGGUUGUCAUGCCAAUGGCAUUGCCCGGUAGCUAAAUGCGGAAGAGAUAAGUGCUGAAAGCAUCUAAGCACGAAACUUGCCCCGAGAUGAGUUCUCCCUGAGACUUUAAGUCUCCUGAAGGAACGUUGAAGACGACGACGUUGAUAGGUCGGGUGUGUAAGUGUAGCGAUACAUUGAGCUAACCGAUACUAAUGAACCGUGAGGCUUAACCUU